CUCGUACUCCCCGAAAUGCUUUUAGGAGCAGCGUGGGGGUUUAGUUUAUUAGAGGUAGAGCUACCAAUUGGACUAGGGGGAGUCAAAUCCUACCAAAUCCAGAUGAACUCCGAAUGCUGAUAAAUAUACCAUACAGUGAGGGUUGGGGUGCUAAGGUCCCAAUCCGAGAGGGAAAGAACCCAGACCUACAGCUAAGGUCCCAAAAUCUACACUAAGUUGAACUAAGGAGGUCCAGUUGCUUAGACAGCCAGGAUGUUGGCUUGGAAGCAGCCAUUCAUUUAAAGAGUGCGUAACAGCUCACUGGUCGAGUGACAGAGCAUCGAUAAUAAUCGGGCAUCAAGUGUAGUACCGAAGCUUAGGAUGUAUUUAUACAUGGUAGGGGAGCAUUCUCUAGGCGGCGAAGGUUUGCUGUGAGGCAUGCUGGAGCGUAGAGAAGCGCAAAUGUAGGCAUAAGUAACGAUAAUGCGGGUGAGAAACCCGCACACCGAUAGACUAAGGUUUCCCCGGCAAUGCUAAUCAGCCGGGGGUUAGUCAGGGCCUAAGACGAACCCGAAGGGGGUAGUCGAUGGACAAUGAGUUAAUAUUCUCAUACCACCUUUAUUUUCGAAGGAGUGACGGAGUAGUGAAAGUACCGCGUACUGACGGAAUAGUACGUUAAAGCGAGUAGGUAUAGGGCUGGUAGGCAAAUCCGCCGGCCUUGCUGAACGUGAUAGUACCACAAUCCUACGGGAGCGUGGAUAGUGUACCUAAUCAGACUUCCAAGAAAAACUUCUAAGGCUAGGAUAAAGGUGCCUGUACCGCAAACCGACACAGGUAGUCAAGGAGAGAAUCCUGAGGUGCUCGAGUGAAUCAUGGCUAAGGAACUAGGCAAAAUUGCCCUGUAACUUCGGGAGAAGGGGCCCCC
rnacentral:rRNA from 18 species